rnacentral:rRNA from 1 species
CCAUGGAUCAGCUACCAUGCAGUCGAGCGGUAGCACAGAGAGCUUGCUCUCGGGUGACGAGCGGCGGACGGGUGAGUAAUGUCUGGGAAACUGCCUGAUGGAGGGGGAUAACUACUGGAAACGGUAGCUAAUACCGCAUAACGUCGCAAGACCAAAGUGGGGGACCUUCGGGCCUCAUGCCAUCAGAUGUGCCCAGAUGGGAUUAGCUAGUAGGUGGGGUAACGGCUCACCUAGGCGACGAUCCCUAGCUGGUCUGAGAGGAUGACCAGCCACACUGGAACUGAGACACGGUCCAGACUCCUACGGGAGGCAGCAGUGGGGAAUAUUGCACAAUGGGCGCAAGCCUGAUGCAGCCAUGCCGCGUGUAUGAAGAAGGCCUUCGGGUUGUAAAGUACUUUCAGCGGGGAGGAAGGCGAUAAGGUUAAUAACCUUGUCGAUUGACGUUACCCGCAGAAGAAGCACCGGCUAACUCCGUGCCAGCAGCCGCGGUAAUACGGAGGGUGCAAGCGUUAAUCGGAAUUACUGGGCGUAAAGCGCACGCAGGCGGUCUGUCAAGUCGGAUGUGAAAUCCCCGGGCUCAACCUGGGAACUGCAUUCGAAACUGGCAGGCUAGAGUCUUGUAGAGGGGGGUAGAAUUCCAGGUGUAGCGGUGAAAUGCGUAGAGAUCUGGAGGAAUACCGGUGGCGAAGGCGGCCCCCUGGACAAAGACUGACGCUCAGGUGCGAAAGCGUGGGGAGCAAACAGGAUUAGAUACCCUGGUAGUCCACGCCGUAAACGAUGUCGAUUUGGAGGUUGUGCCCUUGAGGCGUGGCUUCCGGAGCUAACGCGUUAAAUCGACCGCCUGGGGAGUACGGCCGCAAGGUUAAAACUCAAAUGAAUUGACGGGGGCCCGCACAAGCGGUGGAGCAUGUGGUUUAAUUCGAUGCAACGCGAAGAACCUUACCUGGUCUUGACAUCCACAGAACUUGCCAGAGAUGGCCUUGGUGCCUUCGGGAACUGUGAGACAGGUGCUGCAUGGCUGUCGUCAGCUCGUGUUGUGAAAUGUUGGGUUAAGUCCCGCAACGAGCGCACCCUUAUCCUUUGUUGCCAGCGGUUCGCCGGCACUCAAGGAGACUGCCAGUGAUAAACUGAGAAGGUGGGGGAUGACGUCAGUCAUCAUGCCGACGACAAGGCUACCCACGUGCUACAAUGCCUAUACAAAAGAGAAGUCGAC